UUAUUUUCCCUUUCAAAAAAAUACCAUCACCGGCUCCAUUGUGACCAAAAUUCUCCUCUCAUUCAUCGGCUUGUCCUCACCCAUCGUUGUCCCAUCAAGAAUCAUUCGAUUAAAAGCCACCCAGAGGCAGAGGAGAGACACCCAAAAGCAAAACCUUCUCAUACCACCGAUGACUCUACUUCGACCUCCCGUUUGUCGUCAUUGUCCUCGCACCACCAUCAUUCCACCAGGAGCUACUCGUCAUCGCAACCGUUACCAUUUAUCUUGGAAAUGUUCUCACAUUGCAUAUGUCUAAGCCACCUCGGUUUAAGUGCAAAAGUGGACCUUACAUGAUUGUGCAAUGCCCUGCUUUCUCUCCUUUGUGUGGUUGUAUUCACCAUAAUUUUCAUGGCAAAAGAAGGUACGUUGAAGAAAUUAUACAAGGAGUGGACUUUGGUUGGUGCAUUAACUGCAUCAGGACAAGGAAGUUACUUCCAAGAUCCCAAAUGAUGAAAACAAGCAUCAUUUCUUCUGUGAGGUGGUUUUGGCUGUAGAGUCUAGAUGAGAUUUCAGUACAAGAUGGAUGAUUUACAUAAAUACUUAAAUUAUUGAGUACUAAUAUAAGUUUAGAUUAUUGGCUCAACUUCAUUGUAAUUUAUUUUUUUAUUUUAUGUAAGCAACAAGGUGCUAUAUUUGCAAGAAGUGAAUU